CCGUCAAAUUUGCUUCCUAGCUGCAAUCAUGGACCCUGGAGCCCUUAAGACCCAGUUGCUGCAGCUUGACUGGGGUCUCUGUGCAGCUCUGCCACCCUGGACCAGGCUGCUGUGGUUAUAGCUCUUUGCAGUGAGAGACUCUUUCUCCUGUGAAGCAGUGAUUAUAGCUCUUUGCAGUAAGAGACCCUUUCCCCUGUGAAGCAGUGAUUAUAGCUCUGGAGACCACUUUCUCCUGUGAAGCAGUGAUUAUAGUUAGUUUUCCCCACACAUUAGCCGAGACUAAAUGUAGGGGAAUAGAGAACAGCUUUAUUGAACACACAGCUUUUUAUGCACAGAGAUGUGGAUUUACACACCAGGGCAGAGG